rnacentral:rRNA from 1 species
CAGUAGCCGCGGGAAUACGAAGGGGGCUAGCGUUGUUCGGAUUUACUGGGCGUAAAGCGCACGUAGGCGGAUCGAUCAGUCAGGGGUGAAAUCCUGGAGCCCAACUCCAGAACUGCCUUUGAUACUGUCGAUCUCGAGUCCGGAAGAGGUGAGUGGAACUCCUAGUGUAGAGGUGGAAUUCGUAGAUAUUAGGAAGAACACCAGUGGCGAAGGCGGCUCACUGGUCCGGUACUGACGCUGAGGUGCGAAAGCGUGGGGAGCAAACAGGAUUAGAUACCCCCGUAGUCCCUGUCUCUUAUAC